GGUUGGUCCGAAUGCAGUAAUGUUUACAAUUAAUUGAUCACAACCAGUUACAGAUUCCUUUGUUUCGUCUCCACUCCCACUGCUUCACUUGACCAGCUGUG
rnacentral:Y_RNA from 1 species